AAGACCGGUUACUUUAACUUUCUGAAAAUAAAGGGCAAUGAAAUGAAGCAACAAAAAAUAGUGGAGAAAGUGGAUACAAAGACGAAGAAGGAAAU